ACUGCUGAGGUCAGACGAGAGUGCAUCCUCAAAGGUCUGUGUGUGUACCUAAAUGAAGAUCCAGAGAAGCUGGUGAGGGAGUACAUGGACGUUGAUGAAUGAAAUGGUCAAAGCCGAGACUGUCCUCGGAAUCGUCAUUUGAGCAGAGGGUGCAGAGGCUGCUGAUGCACAUCUGGAUGUUGGGAUUGUCCUGGAGGAGGUGGAAGUUAUGAACAGCUUGGGCAGUGUAUCUUCUGCAAUAGUGAUGCUGCUGCGACUUAUCUACGCACUAAACUUGAGCUACCCUCAAGUUUAGUGCGUUCAGCACUCAACUUGCUCAGUAACUCAAGCAUACCUUUGAAGUAAUACAGAAAAUAAUAAUGAAAUUGGAUGGAAAGAACUUAUCAAAGAAAGCACAAGUUCUCAAUAUGAAACUCGCUGCUAAGUUGAGUAAAGUUUCAUAUGGAAAAUGAGUGUUUAAAGUCUGCAGUAGAAAAGAUUUAUAUUGUUACAGUUCUCUAAGUUGAGCAACUAUACUGACAUGUUUUAUGUUGUAAAGAAUUGGCUGGGAAAUGAAACUGUAACCUUUUUGUAGUUGUUUUUUUAUUUCAAUGUCCAACUCAGCUGUGUUUUGUGCUGUGUAAAAAGACGAUGUAUAACAAUUCUGAAAAUACAAUUGUGUUGUACCUUU